UGCCUACGGGGGGCAGCAGUGGGGAAUAUUGCACAAUGGGGGAAACCCUGAUGCAGCAACGCCGCGUGAGUGAUGACGGCCUUCGGGUUGUAAAGCUCUGUCUUCAGGGACGAUAAUGACGGUACCUGAGGAGGAAGCCACGGCUAACUACGUGCCAGCAGCCGCGGUAAUACGUAGGGAGCAAGCGUUAUCCGGAUUUAUUGGGUGUAAAGGGUGCGUAGACGGAGAAGCAAGUUAGUUGUGAAAUCCCUCGGCUUAACUGAGGAACUGCAACUAAACCUACUUCCCUUGAGUACUGGAGAGGA
rnacentral:rRNA from 1 species